GAACUUAAGCAUAUCAAUAAGCGGAGGAAAAGAAACUAACAAGGAUUCCCCUAGUAACGGCGAGUGAAGCGGGAACAGCUCAAAUUUGAAAUCUCAGCGCAAGCUGCGAAUUGUAGUUUAGAGAAACGUUUUCGGGGCCGGCAGCCAGUACAAGUUCUUUGGAACAAGGCAUCACAGAGGGUGAAAAUCCCGUCUUUGACUGGCUGCUUGGUUCCAUGUGAUACGUUUUCCAAGAGUCGGUUUGUUUGGGAAUGCAGACCAAAAUGGGUGGUAAAUACCAUCUAAAGCUAAAUAUUGGCGAGAGACCGAUAGCGAACAAGUACCGUGAGGGAAAGAUGAAAAGAACUUUGAAAAGAGAGUUAAACAGUGCGUGAAAUUGUCAAAAGGGAAACGUUUAAAACCAGUAUUGCGGGCAGAAACUCAGGUUCCAUUUAUGGUGCUGUAUUUUUCUGUCGGCGAGUCAACAUCAGUUUUGCUUGGAGUAAAACGCCAGGGGAAGGUAGCCUUCGGGUGUUAUAGCCUCUGGUAAUGCUCUGGGCGGGACUGAGGACUGCAGCGUUCUUUGGGUUUACCACACCAACGCUUAGGAUGUUGACGAAAUGGUUUUAAGCGACCCGUCUUGAAACACGGACCAAGGAGUCUAACAUAUAUGCGAGUAUUUGGGUGGCAAACCCUUAUGCGUAAUGAAAGUGAAAAGGUGGGAUCCUUUGCUGGUGCACCAUCGACCGCGCCAGAUUAUUGCUAUCUCGGCGUGAGUAUGAGCAUACAUGUUGGGACCCGAAA
rnacentral:rRNA from 1 species